GGAAUAUUGGACAAUGGGCGCAAGCCUGAUCCAGCCAUGCCGCGUGCAGGAUGACGGUCCUAUGGAUUGUAAACUGCUUUUAUACGAGAAGAAACACUCCUUCGUGAAGGAGCUUGACGGUAUCGUAAGAAUAAGGAUCGGCUAACUCCGUGCCAGCAGCCGCGGUAAUACGGAGGAUCCAAGCGUUAUCCGGAAUCAUUGGGUUUAAAGGGUCCGUAGGCGGUUUAGUAAGUCAGUGGUGAAAGCCCAUCGCUCAACGGUGGAACGGCCAUUGAUACUGCUAAACUUGAAUUAUUAGGAAGUAACUAGAAUAUGUAGUGUAGCGGUGAAAUGCUUAGAGAUUACAUGGAAUACCAAUUGCGAAGGCAGGUUACUACUAAUGGAUUGACGCUGAUGGACGAAAGCGUGGGUAGCGAACAGGAUUAGAUACCCCAG
rnacentral:rRNA from 1 species